rnacentral:rRNA from 1 species
CAAUAGCAUAUAUUUAAGUUGUUGCAGUUAAAAAGCUCGUAGUUGGAUUUUGGGUCGGGGGCACCGGUCCGCCGUUCCGGUGUGCACUGGUGGCCCCUUCCUUUCUGCCGGGGACGUGCGUCGCACUUAAUUGGGUGGCGUUCGGAGUCGGCGUUGUUACUUUGAAAAAAUUAGAGUGUUCAAAGCAAGCCAUCGCUCUGAAUACAUUAGCAUGGAAUAACAUGAUAGGACUCUGGUCUUAUUUUGUUGGUUUCCGAGACUGGAGUAAUGAUUAAGAGGGACAGUCGGGGGCAUCCGUAUUUCAUUGUCAGAGGUGAAAUUCUUGGAUUUAUGAAAGACGAACUUCUGCGAAAGCAUUUGCCAAGGAUGUUUUCAUUAA